rnacentral:lncRNA from 1 species
CUUUAAUAUUGAAUGGGUAAAUUGUCUUGCGGCUUCCCAGAUUUUCUUUAGUCAAUUUACAAGAUUUCAACAUGAGAAUAAUGAGUGGUUUAGGUGUCAAAAUACUCAAUAAUAAUACUUAACCAUUAGAAUUUUUUGCAAAUAUAAAAGACAAUAAAAGGCUAAUAUUAUCUACAUUAUAAUGUUAUACCCGAGGUCCCUUAAUCAAUAAAACAUACAAAACGAGGAAUCGGAAAAGGGAAACGACAAUCAUGGGCGGACCUAGGGGGGGGUUUAGAGGGGCAAUUGACCCCCUAGAUUUUGGGGAAAAAAAAAUUAUUGCUUAGCUUUUUUUUUUUUUUUUUACCUUAGUUUUUUUUUUAGAAGAUACCCUAUAAAUUUUAUUUUUGCCCUCCUAAGCCAAGUCGUCUGGGUCCGCCCCUGACGACAAUACCUAAUGAUGCCGCCACUAACUAUUCCACAAACAGAAUCAUCCCAAUUAAUUAGUAAAAAAUUGCUUUCUUUUAAGCUGAGCCAUAGAUAGAAUAAUUACUAAAUUCAGUAACACUAAACUGUAAGCAAAAUUUGAAAAGGAAGGGAGAAAAAUCCAAACCUCGCUUGUAGAAUGACCUUAAUAGCAACCUUCGGUCCUAUAAGUUUCCUCUUCUUAAACUUGGUCCGGUAAGUAAACCAAAAAAAAAAAAAAAAAAAAAAAAAAGCACGUUCCAAAUCCUUCUCACUUGAUGCAACACUAAUUAGAUUAUCCUUAUUUCUUUUCUCUACAACUUCAGCGUCAUCAUCUUCGAUGUGUAAUGAAACAUAUUUCUCUGUAUUUGGAAAAAAAAAAACGCAAUUUAUUACAAGAAAGUAACAUUGCUCAUCAAUCAAAUAUAUAAACAUAAUAUGGAAAUUAACUAAAUGUCUAAAAACUCCUAAUUUUUUUUUUGCAGAUUCAUAUAUAAAACAAUGUCUAUAGCAAAAAGUUUAAACAAUCGUGAUGUUCAAGCUUUAAUAAGCUCCAAGUGUAAAACUUCUUGACCUGGGAAAACAACGAACAGAUAUUGCUAGGAUUUAAUAAAUGGUUUUACCCAUUCAUGGCAAGUAUACCCAAAAUGAACUCUACCCACUUCUUUUCCCAACUUGUACUCAUUAGAAAAUUUUUUCGAAGCACUAUCCAAAAGCACAUACCUUUUGAUGUGAUGAAAGUGAAAUUACUCAUUCAUAAAGAGAAAUCCAGGUUAGAGAAGAAAAAAUGAAGUUGCAAUUGCAUAUUCAGUAAUAGCUUUUUAGAUGCAUACCUUUAGUUUUGUCUAUGGAACCCCCAAACGGGAUGCCUUCCAAUUGGUCCUGCUUGUAGUUAUUUUUGAGGUUUCCUCGUUUUCAUUUCAGGAUCCAGCAUAUAACUAAAGUAACAAAAAUCAGAUAAAAACCUUAACGUAACCAGGUUUGGGUUUGGUGUUUUUAGUCUACUUUGUUAAGCAUUUACAUUUGCAAAAUAAGCCCCUUUUUUAUGCAGUGUGAACAAGGAAAUAGAGUACAUACAUGCUGAGACCAACUUCUGUGACUUUUUUUAUUGGGAUCUCAAAUUGAAGCAGUUGCAGCUACGUUGUGGCAUACCAUAUGCAUGGUUGUGUCUAUGCUUUUGGUGGAAAUCAGUUUGCGCAGUUGGGUUCAGUAACAAAUUCUGAUCAAUGCGAGGUAUAUUCUCUGCUUAUUGUUUCCAUUUCUUCAAAUUAUUUUAAAAAUUUUCACCUCUUUUUAUGCUGUAAACAAUAGACAUUUUAAAUUACCAUGAGCCAUGAAACUCCCAGUGUUUCUCCUCAUGCAGGCAGCUGUUAAAGAAUCUUGUAGCAGUCCUCAACAAAAGAAUCAUAGGUAAAAUUUGUGGAUUCGAUCCUAUUCUUGGAUAAUGCAAUUAAUUAGUUAUUACUGCACUCAACAUAUGAUAGAUCUCAUUGUCUAUACACAUGUGAGACCUUGAGCUUUCAUUUAACCAUGAACAAUUGUCAUUGAUCUGGAAGACUUACUGGAAAUGGAAUAGAAUCCAAGUUGAAAUGUUAGUUCACUCUCAUAAUGUAUAACCUAGAAAACCACAAAGCACAUUUUUUGCCAAACACAAUCAAAUGUGAUAUUGUAGUCUUUCAUGUGAUCCCUUGCUCUUUCUUAUUUUGUUCUCCUUUUUCAUUAUUCAUUGCUUUCCUUUAUGUUUUCCACUAUGACAUUAGUCAGAACCAAAUAGUUUAAAUUUAAUUG